rnacentral:piRNA from 1 species
UGAAUCAGCACAGAUCUUGGGCCAAGU